rnacentral:tRNA from 1 species
GGGCGUAUAGUUUAUUGGUAAAACGUCGCAUUCACAUUGCGAAGACGCCAGGUUCGAUUCCUGGUGCGCCCA